UACGUAGGGUGCAAGCGUUGUCCGGAAUUAUUGGGCGUAAAGAGCUCGUAGGCGGUCUGUCGCGUCGGCUGUGAAAACUCGGGGCUCAACCCCGAGCCUGCAGUCGAUACGGGCAGACUAGAGUGCUGUAGGGGAGACUGGAGUUCCUGGUGUAGCGGUGAAAUGCGCAGAUAUCAGGAGGAACACCGGUGGCGAAGGCGGGUCUCUGGGCAGUAACUGACGCUGAGGAGCGAAAGCGUGGGGAGCGAACAGG
rnacentral:rRNA from 1 species